rnacentral:rRNA from 1 species
UCCCAGUUCGGAUCGCAGGCUGCAACCCGCCUGCGUGAAGUUGGAAUCGCUAGUAAUCGCGGAUCAGCAUGCCGCGGUGAAUACGUUCCCGGGCCUUGUACACACCGCCCGUCACACCAUGAGAGUCGGGAACACCCGAAGUCCGUAGUCUAACCGCAAGGGGGACGCGGCCGAAGGUGGGUUCGACAAUUGGGGUGAAGUCGUAACAAGGUAGC